rnacentral:lncRNA from 1 species
AUGCUGCCAUUUCGAUUAAACCUGUUCAGGAUGGCUGGAACAGCUUGGUAUGGGCAGAGAUCUUCAAAAGCACAUCCUCAGCUAGCAAUUGUGAGCAGAGGUCUGCAAGCUUUAAGGAGACAUUUUUCACAAAGCACACUGAAAGAGCUAGUUAAAUAA